UGGGGAAUAUUGCGCAAUGGGCGAAAGCCUGACGCAGCAACGCCGCGUGAGCGAUGAAGGCCUUCGGGUUGUAAAGCUCUUUCGGUUGGGAAGAAGGGUGUACGAGCUAAUAAUUCGUGCAUUUGAUGGUACCAAAAGAAGAAGCACCGGCUAACUUCGUGCCAGCAGCCGCGGUAAUACGAAGGGUGCGAGCGUUGUUCGGAAUUACUGGGCGUAAAGGGUUCGUAGGCGGGACCUUAAGUCACGUGUGAAAUCCCCGAGCUUAACUCGGGACGUGCACGUGAAACUGAGGUUCUUGAGUCUUGCAGAGGAUGAUGGAAUUGCUGGUGUAGGAGUGACAUCCGUAGAGAUCAGCAGGAACACCGGAGGCGAAGGCGAUCAUCUGGGCAAGUACUGACGC
rnacentral:rRNA from 1 species